rnacentral:rRNA from 1 species
CGAACGGGUGAGUAACGCGUGAGGAACCUGCCUCAAAGAGGGGGACAACAGUUGGAAACGACUGCUAAUACCGCAUAAGCCCACGGCUCGGCAUCGAGCAGAGGGAAAAGGAGUGAUCCGCUUUGAGAUGGCCUCGCGUCCGAUUAGCUGGUUGGUGAGGUAACGGCCCACCAGGGCGACGAUCGGUAGCCGGACUGAGAGGUUGAACGGCCACAUUGGGACUGAGACACGGCCCAG